GAUGAACGCUGGCGGCGUGCCUAAUACAUGCAAGUCGAGCGAACAGACGAGGAGCUUGCUCCUCUGACGUUAGCGGCGGACGGGUGAGUAACACGUGGAUAACCUACCUAUAAGACUGGGAUAACUUCGGGAAACCGGAGCUAAUACCGGAUAAUAUAUUGAACCGCAUGGUUCAAUAGUGAAAGACGGUUUUGAUGUCACUUAUAGAUGGAUCCGCGCCGCAUUAGCUAGUUGGUAAGGUAACGGCUUACCAAGGCAACGAUGCGUAGCCGACCUGAGAGGGUGAUCGGCCACACUGGAACUGAGACACGGUCCAGACUCCUACGGGAGGCAGCAGUAGGGAAUCUUCCGCAAUGGGCGAAAGCCUGACGGAGCAACGCCGCGUGAGUGAUGAAGGUCUUCGGAUCGUAAAACUCUGUUAUUAGGGAAGAACAAAUGUGUAAGUAACUAUGCACGUCUUGACGGUACUUAAUCAGAAAGCCACGGCUAACUACGUG
rnacentral:rRNA from 1 species